UACGUAGGGACCAAGCGUUGUUCGGAUUUACUGGGCGUAAAGGGCGCGUAGGCGGGCGAUCAAGUCAGGGGUGAAAUCUUUCGGCUCAACCGGAAAAGGGCCUUUGAUACUGGUCGCCUCGAGGGAGGUAGGGGCAUGCGGAACUUCCGGUGGAGCGGUGAAAUGCGUAGAUAUCGGAAGGAACGCCGGUGGCGAAAGCGGCGUGCUGGACCUCUUCUGACGCUGAGGCGCGAAAGCCAGGGGAGCGAACGGG
rnacentral:rRNA from 1 species